AAAGAAAUCCAUUUGUCGGACGCUAAGGCUUGGCGAGGAGCUUGGCCUGAUAGAGGUCGUGC
rnacentral:sRNA from 1 species